rnacentral:rRNA from 1 species
AACGAACGCUGGCGGCAGGCCUAACACAUGCAAGUCGAACGAAGUCUUCGGACUUAGUGGCGCACGGGUGAGUAACACGUGGGAAUAUACCUUUCGGUGGGGAAUAACAGCGGGAAACUGCUGCUAAUACCGCAUACGCCCUUUGGGGGAAAGAUUUAUCGCCGAGAGAUUAGCCCGCGUCCGAUUAGGUAGUUGGUGAGGUAACGGCUCACCAAGCCGACGAUCGGUAGCUGGUCUGAGAGGAUGAUCAGCCACACUGGGACUGAGACACGGCCCAGACUCCUACGGGAGGCAGCAGUGGGGAAUAUUGGACAAUGGGCGCAAGCCUGAUCCAGCCAUGCCGCGUGAGUGAUGAAGGCCUUAGGGUUGUAAAGCUCUUUCGGCGGGGACGAUGAUGACGGUACCCGCAGAAGAAGCCCCGGCUAACUUCGUGCCAGCCGCCGCAGUAAGAC